GUCCACGCCGUAAACGAUGGGUACUAGGCAUUGCGGGAUUCGACCCCUGCAGUGCCGGUUAGACGAGCUAACGCGUUAAGUACCCCGCCUGGGGAGUACGGCCGCAAGGCUAAAAACUCAAAAGGAAUUGACGGGAGCCCGCACAAGUGGUGGAGCAUGUGGUUUAAUUCGACGAUAAACGAGAAACCUUACCAGGUCUUGACAUCCCGGGAAAGCCGCCGAAAAGGUGGCCGUGCCGCAAGGAACCCGGAGACAGGUGCUGCAUGGCUGUCGU
rnacentral:rRNA from 1 species